rnacentral:rRNA from 1 species
AACGAACGCUGGCGGCAGGCCUAACACAUGCAAGUCGAAGCGGGCGUAGCAAUACGUCAGCGGCGGACGGGUGAGUAACACGUGGGAAUAUGCCUUUCGGUUUGGAACAACUCGGGGAAACCCGUGCUAAUUCCGGAUACGCCCUUAGGGGAAAGAUUUAUCGCCGAAAGAUUAGCCCGCGUCCGAUUAGCUAGUUGGUGAGGUAACGGCCCACCAAGGCGACGAUCGGUAGCUGGUUUGAGAGAACGACCAGCCACACUGGGACUGAGACACGGCCCAGACUCCUACGGGAGGCAGCAGUGGGGAAUCUUGGACAAUGGAGGAAACUCUGAUCCAGCCAUGCCGCGUGAGUGAUGAAGG